rnacentral:lncRNA from 1 species
AUGACAUCCACUCCAGGGAAAAAACAAACCGAAGAUCCUGUAGGGGCUGAAGAGAUACUGUGUGGACUAGGAGCCUGGAAGACUGAGCAGGAGGUAACACGUCACAGCGAGGGCACACACAGCAGUGUUACACAUGUCAAACAGGACACAGGGGAGGUACAGUGUCACAGCACCCUGUUACACAUGUACAGCAGGACACACGGGAGGUACAAUGUCACAGCACCCUGUUACACAUGUACAGCAAGACACACGGGAGGUACAUCACAGCAGUGUUACACAGGUACAGCAGGACACACGGAGGUACAAUGUCACAGCAGUGUUACACAGGUACAGCAGGACACACGGGAGGUACAAUGUCACAGCAGUGUUACACAGGUACAACAGGACACACGGAGGUACAUCACAGCAGUGUUACGUUGUGUACAGCAGGACAGAGGGGAAGUACAACGUGCCAGCACCGUUACACAAUACACACCGAGACGCGUGCGCACAGGUCAGGUGUGGGAAGCGUGCAUGGGAGGAGGCCUCCAGCCCCCAAUGGCGUCCGCUCCCGGGGACCGGGGGAGAGCGGUGCUUGGCAGCGUGGACAAGGAGCAGCCUGUGCGUCUCCCGCCGCGGAUCUCUGAAGCAAUGCCCGGUGUGGGGGACCCCCGUGGGGGGGUGUACGUGCAACCUGGACAGUUCAUUCUCUGUGUGGCUAACGGCAGCGGUAACGGCAGUGCCCCGUGGGCCGGAGAGAGGGAAGCUCCCUGUGUGUGGAGUUUUAAACUCUCAGGAGCUCCGGUAAUCCGUGUAAAGCCCAGGCCCCAAGCUCCGCCUCCCUGGGCGUGCGCCAGAGGAGAGCCCUGGCUGGAAAGCAGAGGUGUGAGGCCCUGUCAGCAACCCACAGAACCUUCGACUGAAGUCGACAACCUGCCCCCAGCCCUGUGAGCUUCCUGCUCAGGGCCCCCGGAGACACAGCCGGCACCGCCCCUCCCCUUCCAUUUUACUUCUCAUUCACAAACAAGGUUGUGAAAUCCCGAGUGCGUCUCUGGCUCCAUGAGCGUUCACACUAUUGUAUAGCUAUUACACUUUUCCUGGCUUUCCCCGUGCCUCAGUGUCUCCCUGCGCGGACUCAGUUUCCCCAAGAAUGCAGCUACCGCCUGGCCCCGGCCUGUCCCAGCACUGGCCCAAACACCAGGCCCUGAGCCACCUGCGGAAGCUCCCCUGCCACGCUGCUCCUCCCCUUCAGCAGUCCCAGGUUCAAGGCCACAGGGGGCAGGGGUCACACCUGCGCCCUAUGCCCUAUGCCCCGCACGACAAUGGCUCAGGUCCUCCUGUGUCACCUGUGCUGGCUUUGCUGACUCCUCUGAAGGAAAAGUCCUGUUUAGCAAUGCGGGGGGGGGGGGGAAGGGGAAAGGGAGGGGAAGGGGAAGGGGAAGGUAAACUGAACCAUCUCACAAGGCUCCUCCUCUGGGGUGAGCUCACUCUCCCCCUCAUGGCCUGAUG